rnacentral:rRNA from 1 species
GACGAACGCUGGCGGCGUGCUUAACACAUGCAAGUCGAACGGAAAGGCCCUGCUUUUGUGGGGUGCUCGAGUGGCGAACGGGUGAGUAACACGUGAGUAACCUGCCCUUGACUUUGGGAUAACUUCAGGAAACUGGGGCUAAUACCGGAUAGGAGCUCCUGCUGCAUGGUGGGGGUUGGAAAGUUUCGGCGGUUGGGGAUGGACUCGCGGCUUAUCAGCUUGUCGGUGGGGUAGUGGCUUACCAAGGCUUUGACGGGUAGCCGGCCUGAGAGGGUGACUGGCCACAUUGGGACUGAGAUACGGCCCAGACUCCUACGGGAGGCAGCAGUGGGGAAUAUUGCACAAUGGGCGGAAGCCUGAUGCAGCAACGCCGCGUGCGGGAUGACGGCCUUCGGGUUGUAAACCGCUUUCGCCUGUGACGAAGCGUGAGUGACGGUAAUGGGUAAAGAAGCACCGGCUAACUACGUG